GAUCAUUAAAUAAUCAAUAAUUUUGGCCUGUCCAUCAUUAUCUAUUUACUGUGAACUCGUAUUAUUACUUGACGCCUGAGGGAUGUUCCAGUGCUAUAAGGAUAGGCACUGGGAAUGUUAACCGAGUCAUAAUCAAGCUUAGGCUUGGUAUCCUAUUAUUAUUUACCAAAAGAAUUCAGAAUUAAUAUUGUAACAUAGACGUAAAAAAUCUAUAAAACAACUUUUAACAACGGAUCUCUUGGUUCUCGCAUCGAUGAAGAACGUAGCAAAGUGCGAUAACUAGUGUGAAUUGCAUAUUCAGUGAAUCAUCGAGUCUUUGAACGCAACUUGCGCUCAUUGGUAUUCCAAUGAGCACGCCUGUUUCAGUAUCAAAACAAACCCUCUAUCCAGCAUUUGUUGAAUAGGAUGACUGAGAGUCUCCUGAUCUUUUGAUCUCGAACCUCUUGAAAUGUACAAAGGCCUGAUCUUGUUUAAAUGCCUGAACUUUUUUUUAAUAUAAAGAGAAGCUCUUGCGGUAAACUGUGCUGGGGCCUCCCAAAUAACACAUUUUUAAAUUUGAUCUGAAAUCAGGUGGGAUUACCC
rnacentral:misc_RNA from 1 species